rnacentral:misc_RNA from 1 species
UCCCGGUUAACCCGGGCAGUCUCAUUAGAGUUCCCAUCUUCGUAUGCUGGCAACUAAUGAUAAGGGUUGCGCUCGUUGCGGGACUUAACCCAACACCUCACGGCACGAGCUGACGACAGCCAUGCAGCACCUGUGCACUGGUCCUUACGGACGUCGACAUCUCUGCCUUCUUCCAGUGCAUGUCAAACCUGGGUAAGGUUCUUCGCGUACCAUCGAAUUAAACCACAUGCUCCACUGCUUGUGCGGGCCCCCGUCAAUUCUUUUAAGUUUCACCCUUGCGAGCGUACUCCUCAGGCGGUAUACUUAACGCGUUAGCUCCGACACAGCUGGGGUUGAGUCCAGCUACAUCAAGUAUACAUCGUUUACAGCAAGGACUAC